AACCGGAGCUAAUACCGGAUAAUAUAUUGAACCGCAUGGUUCAAUAGUGAAAGACGGUUUUGUCUGUCACUUAUAGAUGGAUCCGCGCCGCAUUAGCUAGUUGGUAAGGUAACGGCUUACCAAGGCAACGAUGCGUAGCCGACCUGAGAGGGUGAUCGGCCACACUGGAACUGAGACACGGUCCAGACUCCUACGGGAGGCAGCAGUAGGGAAUCUUCCGCAAUGGGCGAAAGCCUGAACGGAGCAACGCCGCGUGAGUGAUGAAGGUCUUCGGAUCGUAAAACUCUGUUAUUAGGGAAGAACAAAUGUGUAAGUAACUAUGCACGUCUUGACGGUACCUAAUCAGAAACGCCACGGCUAACUACGUGCCAGCCAGCCGCGGUUAAUACGGUAGGUGGCAAGCGUUAUCCGGAAUUAGUUGGGACGUAAAGCGCGCGUUAGGCGGGUUUUUUAAUCUGAUGUGAAACGCCCACGGCCAACGGUGAGGUCAUUGGAAACUGGAAACUUGAGUGCAGAAGAGGAAAGUGGAAUUCCAUGUGUAAGCGGUAGAAAUGACCG
rnacentral:rRNA from 1 species